rnacentral:rRNA from 1 species
GAUGAACGCUAGCUACAGGCUUAACACAUGCAAGUCGAGGGGAAACGCCAUCGAAAGCUUGCUUUUGAUGGGCGUCGACCGGCGCACGGGUGAGUAACGCGUAUCCAACCUGCCCAUCACUUGGGAAUAACCUUGCGAAAGUAAGACUAAUACCCAAUGAUAUCCCACGAAGGCAUCGGAAUGGGAUUAAAGAUUUAUCGGUGUUGGAUGGGGAUGCGUCUGAUUAGCUUGUUGGCGGGGUAACGGCCCACCAAGGCAACGAUCAGUAGGGGUUCUGAGAGGAAGGUCCCCCACAUUGGAACUGAGACACGGUCCAAACUCCUACGGGAGGCAGCAGUGAGGAAUAUUGGUCAAUGGGCGAGAGCCUGAACCAGCCAAGUAGCGUGCAGGAAGACGGCCCUAUGGGUUGUAAACUGCUUUUAUAAGGGAAUAAAGUGGGUCACGUGUGACUUUUUGCAUGUACCUUAUGAAUAAGGACCGGCUAAUUCCGUG